UCCGUUGGUGUACCAGCGGAGGGAUCAUUUCCGAGUUUACAACUCCCGAACCCCUGUGAAGAUACCUUAUGUUGCCUCGGCGGAUCAGCCCGCGCCCCGUAAAAAGGGACGGCUCGCCGCAGGAACCCUAAACUCUGUUUUUAGUGGAACUUCUGAGUAUAAAAAAUAAAUAAAUCAAAACUUUCAACAACGGAUCUCUUGGUUCUGGCAUCGAUGAAGAACGCAGCAAAAUGCGAAAAGUAAUGUGAAUUGCAGAAUUCAGUGAAUCAUCGAAUCUUUGAACGCACAUUGCGCCCGCCAGUAUUCUGGCGGGCAUGGCUGUUCGAGCGUCAUUUCAACCCUCAAGCCCAGCUUGGUGUUGGGAGCUGCAGUCCUGCUGCACUCCCCAAAUACAUUUGCGGUCACGUCGAGCUUCCAUAGCGUAGUAAUUUACACAUCGUUACUGGUAAUCGUCGCGGCCGCGCCGUUAAACCCCAACUUCUGAAUGUUGACCUCGGAUCAGGUAGGAAUACCCGCUGAACU
rnacentral:misc_RNA from 1 species